CGGAGGGUGCAAACGUUGCUCGGAAUCAUUGGGCGUAAAGCGUCACGUAGGCGGUUCGUUAAGUCGGAUGUGAAAGCCCUCGGCUCAACCGAGGAAGUGCAUACGAAACUGGCGAACUUGGAAUAUGGAAGAGGGUCGCGGAAUUCCCGGUGUAGAGGUGAAAUUCGUAGAUAUCGGGAGGAACACCAGUGGCGAAGGCCGGCGACCUGGGCAGUAGCUGACACUGAGGCGCGACAGCGUGGGGAGCAAACAGGAUUAGAUACCCUGGUAGUCCACGCCGUAAACGAUGGGCACUAGGUGCUUGGGGGAGCGACCCCCUGAGUGCCGGCGCUAACGCAUUAAGUGCCCCGCCUGGGGAGUACGGCCGCAAAGGCUG
rnacentral:rRNA from 1 species